rnacentral:rRNA from 1 species
UACGAAGGGUGCAAACGUUGCUCGGAAUUAUUGGGCGUAAAGCGCACGUAGGCGGCUUAGCAAGUCGGAUGUGAAAUCCCUCGGCUCAACCAAGGAAGUGCAUCCGAAACUGCUGAGCUUGAGUACGAAAGAGGAUCGCGGAAUUCCCGGUGUAGAGGUGAAAUUCGUAGAUAUUGGGAAGAACACCGGUGGCGAAGGCGGCCAACUGGACCACAACUGACGCUGAGGCGCGAAAGCCAGGGGAGCAAACGGG